rnacentral:rRNA from 1 species
AUUGAACGCUAGCGGGAUGCUUUACACAUGCAAGUCGAACGCGUGGCGGACGGGUGAGUAAUGUAUGGGGAUCUGCCCGAUAGAGGGGGAUAACUACUGGAAACGGAGCUAAUACCGCAUACUAUCGGCUGAACCCAUAUGGGAGUAGCUAGUAGGUGAGGUAAUGGCGCACCUAGGCGAUGAUCCCUAGCUGGUCUGAGAGGAUGAUCAGCCACACUGGGACUGAGACACGGCCCAGACUCCUACGGGAGGCAGCAGUGGGGAAUUUUGGACAAUGGGGGAAACCCUGAUCCAGCCAUCCCGCGUGUAUGAUGAAGGCCUUCGGGUUGUAAAGUACUUUUGGCAGAGAAGCGGUAUCUGCAGAAUAAGCACCGGCUAACUACGUGCCAGCAGCCGCGGUAUUC